AACGCACCUUGCGCUCCUUGGUAUUCCGAGGAGCAUGCCUGUUUGAGUGUCAUUAAAUCCUCAACCCUCUCCCUUGCGGGGGUGCGGCUUGGACUUGGAGCGUGCUGGCGAAGGUCGGCUCCUCUUUAAAUGCAUCAGCGGAAAGCUUUUCUGGCCGUUCGGCGUGAUAACACUGUUGCGCCGUGGAAGCCUCUGUAAAGGCCCCGCUUACAAUCGUCUUCGGACAAACGACAUCUCAGUGUCAAAUCCACUUUGACCUCAAAUCAGGUAGGACUACCCGCUGAACUUAA
rnacentral:misc_RNA from 1 species